rnacentral:rRNA from 1 species
UACAGAGGGUGCAAACGUUGCUCGGAAUCAUUGGGCGUAAAGCGCACGUAGGCGGUCCAGCAAGCGGGGAGUGAAAGCCCUCGGCUUAACCGAGGAAGUGCUUUCCGAACUACUGGACUUGAGUACUGAAGAGGGUCGCGGAAUUCCCGGUGUAGAGGUGUAAUUCGUAGAUAUCGGGAGGAAUACCGGUGGCGAAAGCGACUCUCUGGACGGCAACUGACGCUGAGGCACGAAAGCGUGGGGAGAAAACAGG